rnacentral:rRNA from 1 species
AUUUUCUGCCACCGAAUACAUUAGCAUGGGAUAAUGGAAUAGGACCCUGUCCUCCUAUUUUCAGUUGGUUUUGGCAGCGCGAGGACUAGGGUAAUGAUUAAUAGGGAUAGUUGGGGGCAUUAAUAUUUAAUUGUCAGAGGUGAAAUUCUUGGAUUUAUGAAAGAUUAACUUCUGCGAAAGCAUCUGCCAAGGAUGUUUUCAUUAAUCAAGAACGAAAGUUAGGGGAUCGAAGACGAUCAGAUACCGUCSUAGUCUUAACCAUAAACGAUGCCSACCAGCGAUUAGGAGACGUUGAAUACAAAACACCACCAUCGGCGCGGUCGUCCUUGGCGUUCGUGUUCACGCACGAGCGCGAGGGCGGUUUAGCCCGGUGGCACCGGUGAAUGACUCCCCUAGC